UACGUAGGGGGCUAGCGUUGUCCGGAAUCAUUGGGCGUAAAGCGCGUGUAGGCGGUCCGGUAAGUCCGCUGUGAAAGUCGGGGGGCUCAACCCUCGAAUGCCGGUGGAUACUGUCGGGCUAGAGUGCGGAAGAGGCGAGUGGAAUUCCUGGUGUAGCGGUGAAAUGCGCAGAUAUCAGGAGGAACACCUAUUGCGAAGGCAGCUCGCUGGGACGUAACUGACGCUGAGACGCGAAAAGCGUGGGGGAGCAAAACAG
rnacentral:rRNA from 1 species